CGGCAGAGGAAGCAGGUAAUUUGAUGGGUCUGACUUUGAGUCAGACACAGUACACCAGCCUACUAAAAGAGUAGCAGCUCAAGGUUCUUCAGUAGCUCCAACAGCUAUUUCAUCUUUGAAGCGCAGCAAACAAGAAAACGUUGUCUGGAAGCUAAAGCUGGAGAAUGCAAAAGAAAAAAUUAAGUCCUUGGAGAAUGAAAGGGACUUCUUAAGGAACCAACUGUCUGAGGCUUUGGCGCUUGCAAAUAAAGAGGACCAAGAGACAGCAGCGCCCUCCUUGCACGAAAAGAGUAUUGAAAAAUCCUCUUCAUCUUCCUCCUCCACCUCCUCCUCAUCCGACAGUUCCUCC
ensembl:lncRNA